AUUUUUUUAUCCUUUUAUUUUUUCCUAAAGUGGGCGGAGCCUGCGCAGCGCGCGGCGUCUUUCGGCCCGGAGAUUGUUGUUUUUAUUUAAAGUGUUUGUGAGCGGGAGCGCAGCAGCAUCUUUAAACAGACGAGAAACUUCGACAUCUUUUACACCACAGAGCAGUUUACUCUUUUAUUUUGAUUGUUAAAUUGAUUGUAUUGUAUUAUAAUAUUUAUCUGAUACUUGUUUUAUUGUCUGUAUUGUUUUAUUAAUAAUUGUUUCUUUUUCAGGUUUUAAAAGCGGUGUGGGGACCGACCCCCCCAAUUCAACCAAAAAACCAAAUUCAUCACCAGGAAGACUCAUCAGCUACUGUUUGUUUUAAGUGGGAAUCCUAUGCUUCAGAUGUUUCUUUUUUAGCAUAAGAACACACAUUGUGACUAUUUUCUAUUAUAUGCUGUUAAACAUAUAUAAAAUAAGUUCUGCAGAUGCUUGUAAAUGAUGAUGAAGCAUGUUUUUGAAAAUGGCUGAAAAAAAGACAUUUUGCAUGUGUUUGUAUUGCAGGUGGCUUCUGCAUCAACCCCUGCAGGGCACCCCAACACCCUCGUCCAUCCCAUCACCAUCCUGAGGCCUCCCACUCCUCCUUCUCUGCCUGAGUUUACCCCUGAUCCAGAUGCACCGUGUAUUUGCCUGGACGAUGAGCUGUGGGGCGAUGGUUGUAGCCAGGACCGUGAUGGAGAAGAGGACACAUGGGGUUCACCUAAUUAUGGGUGCCAGGAAGCACAGCUGGGAAACCUCACUCCCAGCUUCUACACAGAGUCACACGGCCUGGGAAACACAGGACUGUUCUCACCCACCAUUAUUAUUCAGAACAGCUCCGACAUAAACCUCCAGCCCGGCAUUCAGGUCUGCAUUUUUCCUCUGUGCAGGUUGGAUCGUCCGGUCCUGCUGGUUACGGAAGAGGAGCAUCCUCAGUGGCUGGGCUUUACAGAGCCUGAAUUGGAGGAAGAGCUCCCUGCGCAGGACGAGGACGACCUGGAGGAGGAUCUGUAGGUUCUGGAGCUGGAGGAGGAAAGAGCUCCCACAACAAAGGUCAGCACACAAAGAUUUAAGAAAGAAUAGGUACACUCUUUAAAACUGGCUCUUAAAUAAAUCCACAGGUUCAGCAUUAAUGUUUAUAUUA
ensembl:lncRNA